CAGGCACACAAGGAGUGGACAGUGGUGUAGGGGCCCUGGGAGUCUGAGACUUACCUUGCCCCCUGACCAUCUGAUCCUCCCUGCAAAGGCCACCUGACGUGAAAAGGAGCCAGGAGCAAGCACUCAGUCAGGGAAGUUUGGAGGUUGGCCAUUGGGGUAUGAGGAAUGGCAGGAAUAUUUAGAGGACAGGAAUAAUUUUUCAGAGAAGUGCCACAUAUUCUUUUUCUCUUUGCCAAGUCUGGGCUCCUUCUAAGAUGCUGCUAGCUAUUCCUAGCCCGUUCCCCAAUACUUCUCUGCCCCCACCUUUUGGAAUCCUUAUCUAGGUCUAAAAACGGUUCUAGAUCCUGACCCCUUUGAUUGGGGGAUGUAGAAUGGGAUUCUUUUCAGGGGACAUCCACAAGUACACAUCUGUGGUCACUAAGGUGACCAGCUCAUCCCAGUUGGCCUGGAACUUUCCCAGUUUAAGCACUGAAAACUCCUUGUCCCAGCCCUGCCGGUUUCCCAACAAACUGAGAUGGUUGGCCGCUCAAGUGGCUACCCUGACCAUCACCCCAGGCUCUACUUUAGCGACUGCUCACACCUCCCUGCUUCCCAGACAGAAGUCAAAACAGCAAAAGAAACCCAGUCCCCAGGGUCAUGCUAGGGCUACCAAAACUGGGAUGAACUAGCACCUGUGAACUAGAACAGCAGGGAGUAUGCUUAGAGUGCCUGGUCCUGGGUGUGGGGAAGAAAGGCCAUCAAGGUAGAUGCGGGUGGGGAACAGCUUGAGAGAGGAGGCAAGGACAACCCAGUUUCUGUCUGAAGGGGCCUCUGGUUGACCCUGGAGUUUCUGUCCCCAAACACAGGCCUCACGGGAUUCUUUCUGUCCUCAUGCACUGGGCAGAGGUUCCUUAAC
rnacentral:lncRNA from 10 species